CUUUCCCCCUCUGGUCGAGGGUUUCCUCUGCCCUGUUACGUUCCCCACUCCAAUCCAAUGGCGACGACCAGCAACAAGAAAAUGGCGUCGCCGUCGCCUAUGACGGACAUGCCCGACCAGCUCCUCGCCGAGAUCUUCCUCCGGCUGCCCACCCCACAAGACCUCGCCCGCGCCUCCGCCGUUUGCCUCACCUUCCGCCGAAUCUCCACCGACAGGUCCUUCCUCCGCUGCUUCCGCUGCCUCCACGCACCACCACUUCUCGGAUUCCUCGACCGCGACGGCUUCCACCCAGCCCUAACCUCCACCCCCGCCGUUCGCGCGGCCGCCGUCGCCGCCGAUUUCACCUUAUCCUUCCUCCCCUACCACCGCCGCUGGACCGUGCAGGACGUCCGCGACGGCCGCGUCCUCCUCUGCCGCAGCAUCGGAAAACAUGGGCAGCCCCCGGUCUUCAGAGAUCUCGCGGUGUGCGACCCCUUGCACCGGCGCUACGUCCUGCUCCCCCCGCUACCUCACGACCUGGCUGCUUUGCUUGGGCACCCUUUCCCCCCGGUAACCGAGGCCUGCUGCAAGCGCUUCCUCGUUCCCCUCGGUGAGGAGGAGGCAGCGGCUGGAGACACAACAUUCAUAGUCAUCUUGAUGGCAUAUUGCAAAACCAGUCUGGCUGCCUUUGUCUUCUCUUCCAGCAACGAUCAAUGGCAAGCUACUGCAUCCAAGGAUUUGAGUGAUUUGGCCCUUGACGAGGGCGACAUGGAGGAGAUGUCAAGGGUCCAGCCUUUUAUUCCCAUGCGCCAUUAUGCUUAUGGCUGUUUCUACUGGGACUGGGUGCAAUUCGGGAUGAAGAAGUUGCUCUUGCUUGACACCACGAACAUGGAGUUCUCCACUGCUGACCUCCCACCAGGAGAAUGGAGCAAGGAAGGUAUAGCCAUUGUGGAGGCAGGGGAAGGCAGGCUCGGGAUCUUUGGUUUCCAUGGUGGACUUGCAUCCAAUCUCAGCUAUACAGCUGCACGGACCAAAGGCGAGAGUCCCAGCCAGUGGCAGAUGGAGAAGACAAUCUCACUAGAUUCUGGCUACAAAUAUUGUAUCAGAGACGCAACACAGAGGUACUUGCUCUUGACAAGGAUAGAAGCAUCAUCUCCAAAUAAUCACCUUGUUGGAUAUUUCUCAAUGGAUAUCAAGACGUUGCAGCUUCAGAGGGUUUAUGAGAAACAGCACUAUAAGUAUCCGACAUACGCAUAUAUCAACUUCCCACCAUCAUUGUUGUCUUCAAGGAGAAUAUGAAGUGGUUUGACAGAGCCAUACCCAUACGUAAUCAUAUCAGCAUUCUUAAUUCAAAGCGACCAUGGUUUCAACAGCUUGGAGUUCUCACAUACGUGAUCACGUUGCCUACAAAACAACAAGAUCUACAUUGCCUUGCUUGGUGGUGGCCAUGUCAAUGUUUUGGUUAUUAGGUCUAACAUCAAUGUGGAAUUUCCCUGCCUAAGAAUGUGACUUUGAUAUUAGGAGUUCAAGUCAAUUUUUCUUCUUCAUUAUUUGUUAGAGUUGCUAAAACAGGUACAAUCUGACUAGUGGCAGAACGAUCACAACGGAACUGAUAACCAACAUAAGGACAAUAUAAGCAGCACCAGCAUGCAGUUGGAGGGACUCGGUUCUUUGUUGCUGCUGCUGCUGUACGGUGAAGGAUUUGAUGGAGCUGUAAUCAGAUCGCCCCAGCGCGGGCCCCACCGAAACCGUCCCUCUCGCCCAAUGCCCACGUUCCCCACUCCCCCGUCUUUCCCUCGCCCGCAUUACUUCUUCCCCCCUUCUCGCGCCGCUCUUCGUUUCUGCUCUCUCUCCCCUCUCCCUCGUCUGCGACAGUUGCUGGUGGUGGCGUGGUCCGGUUCGCGGUGGACGGCGUCUGAAUCUCUGGUGAGGAACGCAUUUCCCCACCCCCUUUGUCUACCUGUUUUGCUCCGCCGGAACACAUUCCCCACCCCCUCUCUUUUCCUGUUUCUCCGCCGGCAUGUCCUGCCGUUGAUUUUUGGUGCUCGGACCAUCCUAAUCCAGUCGAUUGUUGUUCCAAAUAGGGACACAAUGCCGAGGAAGCGCAAAGGAGAUGGUGAUGGAAUUGAUGAAGUUCCUUCAAAAAAGAUGAAGCGCCCUCCUCCGCGGAACAGAGCCUCACCCAGUUCGCUUCUUUUAGCAUGCAAAGACAUGAAUGAUGACAGGAAGGUUGCCAUUGAUGAGAUGGACUUCACAAGCCUUCGCAAUAUCCAGUGUGACCAUCUCUUCAACAAUCUCAGUGUGUGGCUUGCUGUUCUUUAUGAUCCCGAUUCCCGUGAGGUUGUUGUACCAGGGCGGGGCAGACUUCCUGGUUCCGUAAAUGCUGAUGAUACUUUCAAGCAUAUGUGGCUUUUGCUUGCUGGGAAUACAAUCAUUGCCCCGACCACCUCCAACAAAGUCAGCCCUAGAUGUUUCAUUGUUUUCAACUUGCGGCGCAACAUCAAUGGUAUUAAAAAUCUCAAUUGGUCCAAAUUUAUUGCUGAUAAAUUAGACAAGGCGCUGCUGAAACGCAAGCCUACCAGGGGUUGCCUUCUCUUCUACAAUCUACUUUACAUUCACGCGAUUGAUCUUUCUGGACUCGGCAUCGUAUUGCCUAAUGGUCCUUUUCCUAUCAAUGUAUGGACGAAGAAGCUGAUAACUCUUGUCCUCAACAAGGAUGUUCAAGCUGACAAAGUUUCUUUUGGGAAUCUACCGUUGAAGCCUGAGUUUGGCAUGAAUUUCUGUCUGUUUGGUGGUCUCAAAGGUCUUGAUAGGUUUAUGCGUGUUCAUGCCCCAAGCUGCAGUCAGGAGAAAUUUGCCAAAUCUACUCAAAUAGUUGCUCGAUUCACGUCCACUAUGGCUGGCAUAAUAGGCGAUCUUGUGCAAUCAUUCACCGCUUUGGAUGAUGAGGGCCAUUCAGAUGCCUCCUGUAAGCUAGACGCUAGAUUGAAUGUUCUUUCUUCCGCUGCUCGUAUGAUGGCAAGGACCGCACGCUCAUCGCAAGGCAGGCGGCCAGAAAGCACUGGAAAGAGCAUUGCUGAUGAUUCUGAGAGUGAUGAUGAGUACCAUGGAGGCAAUGACGCUGAUUCUGAUGCUGACUCCAAUGAUGAUGAUGAUGAUAUGGAUUAUCGAGUUGUUCAUCGUCGCAGCAAGGAUCCUUUCUUUGCUUCAGGCAGUGGUACCGUGGAUGUAGCUAUGGGCAGUGGGCCAGCUGACGAUGACACCACACAUCUGGAUGAUGCAACUGUAAAAGCUCAUGAGAGCACAACACCAAACAUUGAAGGCAUGCCUAUCCGCACUAUCGAUGAGAACCUUAAUGAGUCUCAGAUCAUGCUCACUGGCAUCUCUCACACAACAUUAGUCGGAUCAGGUGAUGUAGGGCUUAGCCAGCAAGAUCUGACAGACACUCAAGCUGAGGCGGCCACUGAAUCUUCUGUCAAGCGGUGUGGUUAUGAGCUUUUGAAAAAUUUGGCUUACCAGAGGUGCAAGAAACUGAGGCUACCAUCACCCCCGUCCAGCUUCACCAACUGUGCCUGUCCGUCCAACUUCACCAGUUGUGCCCCCAGCCCACCACAAAGGCCAUCUUCACCAAAUGCACCAUCAGCAGCUGAAAUUCAUCUAGCUGUGAAGAAAUUUUUGGUCCAGGAGCUUGGUAUACGUGUGGCUGAAAAGGGAACCGGUGUCGUCGUCCCACUAUCUACCAUGCGGAAGGAGGCUCCAUGCAUGGCACCUGGCAAACAAGCUGCUGCUGCUAAGGAUUCAGUGAUUGCACCAGUAAAAAUUGCACCUAUGAAACAAGUUGCUGCUGCUAAGGCUUCGCCAAGUGUAUCAGGAAAAAGUCGUCCAAAAGAGAAAACCGCGGUGAGAAAGGUGCAAUUCGCCACCAGAUCUUCUCCACGACUAAGGGCAGCAUUGUCGCAGACAACAUCAUCGCAGACAAUAGAAGUUAUCCAUCUUGAUGAAUCGCCCACGGCGACGUCUCCGUAUGCGGUUGAAGUACUUGAUGCGACGGGUGGUUCUUUAGCUUCUGAUAAAGCAGAAGCAGCUAGCUUGGGCAAAUUUGAUGUUGUUGCGGUGACAUCCGCUGCUGUUCGUGUCAUUGAAGAAGUCGUGGGAGGUACCCGAGUCAAUUUGCCUAUUGAUACGACAAUAGCUGAAGGUCAAGAGCAUGAUGCCCAGAAUCCUGUGGUAACCAACAAUGUCAAUGAAGAGAAAGCAUCCCCAGUAGUUGACCCUGUGUUGGAGUCGAGCACCCCUGGAGCUGGAGAAGGCGCCGAUGAGUAUAUAGCCUAUGGUUAUUUUGUGCCACCCAACUGCUCUCUUGGGCUUGAUGCCAUCUUUGGUGCGAGUCCACACGUGCCACCAUCGACUGAAGCAUCUCCAACGGUUCAAGCUGCACCAGCGUUGGCUCCUACGGGUCAAGCUGCACCUCCAUUACCAGAUGCUUCAGCGGCUAUGGCAUCGGCUCAAGUACCACCUGCAGCACCAGAAGCAUCGAUGGCGGCUCCAUCGGCUCAAGUACCACCUGCAGCACCAAAAGCAUCGGAGGCGGCUCCAUCGGCUCAAGUACCACCUGCAGCACCAGAAGCAUCGGAGGCGGCUCUAUCGGCUCAAGUACCACCUGCAGCACCAGAAGCAUCGGAGGCGGCUCCAUCGGCUCAAGUACCACCUGUAGCACUAGCUACUGGCCCUAUCGCAGUUCUCGGGCUUCCAUCUCCUAUUGUCGCCGAACCCAAGGGCAAGAAAGGAGGGAAACUAUCAAAGCACAACCGAUUGCUUGGGCUCCGCCACACAACUCCGAUGAUAACCCCUCCUCCUGGUGAUAACUCCAACCUCCCCUCCAUGGUAACUUUGUCAGCUUUGAAAGCAGUUGUUAUCACACCAACCAUGGGCCUGAUUGAUGAUGAUGAGGUUCUCAUGUGGUGGGAAGAGUUUGAACAUGACAAUCCAACAUUAAAAGGGAAACUGAAUGUUCAAAUAGACCACCCUCAAAGUCUAACAUUCGUUACACCAGAGUUACCACCUCGCACAGGGCAUUUAGCAUGCAGUGCAACCCCUAAAUCCUUUAUUCGAAAAGUUAGGGUCACCCACCCGUCCAAAUACCUGCUCCCGCCUUUUGCCACCCUCACAUCGACCGAGGAGGAAGAUGUUAGGGUCAUCGACAUUGAUGGUAGGUGGGUCACCCUAGGUGAGCUUGCCAAUUGUGUGAAGGGAAUUGGGCGACUAUCAACCGGCAUUGCUGAGUUACAUGUUCGCAUUCUUCAGCGUAAGGAAACCCCAAACAGGAUCAUCUUCCCUUGGGUGUUGUCUGUGUAUCUGUUGAUAGGAGACUUCACAUCCAAGUGUCUAUUGAAGUAUUUCCGACAGGAUCAGUUUUACAUCCUUAGUCACCAGGAUCAGCAGCUAUUCCCUGCUUUGCAAAAGUUGGGUCCCGGUCCAAAUGACGGGCAUUGGUAUAUGUUGUCACUAAAUCUCAGGGCAAAGCGGUUCGAAGUUCUAGAUUCAUUACGUGAACAAGAUAGUCCUUCUCUUCUCGAGCAUGCGACAAGAUACAUGGACAAUAUAAAGAAGGGUUGGUUGAUAAAUUACAAGGACUCGCAUAAGAAAAUUCAGAAUUAUGAACUUGUGUACAUUGAUGUGUUGAAACAAGAUAAUGGUUUAGUUGUGGAUUAUUCAUUCUCUUUUUAA
rnacentral:rRNA from 1 species